AACAGGAUCGCCCCUUCGGUCUGAGCAUUAGUAGAGGAAGUUGAACUAUGCAAAGAUCAACUUGGAUGAACUCAACCAAAUCUAAAGGUAACUGGCCAUAUCAAUACCAAUGCAAAGACACAAUUCAUUUAAUUAUUGGGUUGGAAUUUAUUGUGCACCUGCUUUUGUAAUAGCACCAUACUGGAUUGAAAGAAUAUGAAGGAACCAGGCAGCCUUUCUUCUGGGGAGCUUAUCAUCAGACGGACGUAGGAGCCGUUUCCAGCGGGACGAAAACCCCUGAUAGAAGAGAGAAUACCAGCACUGUGGGACUAUACUUAACCAUUGAAAUCUCUGUGUUUGGCACAUCCUAAGGACUUGCAUUUGUUGAGUGACUCUUACAAGAAAAUCGUGCAGUGAGAUAAAAAAAAUUCCAGCCAAUGUAAGGGAUGUUUUACUUUUUUAAGGAAAAAGCAAGAGGGAAGAGUGGAAAAGUAGCUGUAAGGACCAUGAGAUGGGGCUAUGAGCAAUAGCCCCACAUGGGCUUUAGGAAGAUCGGAAAGACUUGUUAGAAGAAAUGUUUGCCUGCUUGACUAUUGCUGUAUUAAAAAAAAGACCUCCAAAA